rnacentral:rRNA from 1 species
UACGGGGUCAGGGCAGUGUUGCGAUUUAUUGGGCGUAAAGAGCUCGUAGGCGGUGUGUCACGUCGUUCGUGAAAACCUGCAGCUUAACUGUGGGCGUGCGGUCGAUACGGGCAUCACUGGAGUUCGGCAGGGGAGACUGGAAUUCCUGGUGUAGCGGUGAAAUGCGCAGAUAUCAGGAGGAACACCGAUGGCGAAGGCAGGUCUCUGGGCAUUAACUGACGCUGAGGAGCGAAAGCAUGGGGAGCGAACAGG